AACCUGCGGAGGGAUCAUUACUGAGUGAGGGCUCACGCCCGACCUCCAACCCUUUGUGAACACAUCUUGUUGCUUCGGGGGCGACCCUGCCGGCACUACGUCGCCGGGCGCCCCCGAAGGUCUCCAAACACUGCAUCUUUGCGUCGGAGGUUAAACAAAUUAAACAAAACUUUCAACAACGGAUCUCUUGGUUCUGGCAUCGAUGAAGAACGCAGCGAAAUGCGAUAAGUAAUGUGAAUUGCAGAAUUCAGUGAAUCAUCGAAUCUUUGAACGCACAUUGCGCCCUUUGGUAUUCCGAAGGGCAUGCCUGUUCGAGCGUCAUUUCACCACUCAAGCCUGGCUUGGUAUUGGGCGUCGCGGCUCCGCGCGCCUUAAAGUCUCCGGCUGAGCCAUUCGUCUCUAAGCGUUGUGGAUUUUCUAAUUCGCUUCGGAGUGCGGGUGGCCGCGGCCGUUAAAUCUUUACUCAAGGUUGACCUCGGAUCAGGUAGGGAUA
rnacentral:rRNA from 1 species